rnacentral:rRNA from 1 species
AAUGAACGCUGGCGGCAGGCUUAACACAUGCAAGUCGAGCGAGCGGCGGACGGGUGAGUAAUGUCUGGGAAACUGCCUGAUGGAGGGGGAUAACUACUGGAAACGGUAGCUAAUACCGCAUACCAUCAGAUGUGCCCAGAUGGGAAUAGCUAGUAGGUGGGGUAAUGGCUCACCUAGGCGACGAUCCCUAGCGGGUCUGAGAGGAUGACCAGCCACAAUGGAACGGAGAGACGGCCCAGACUCCUACGGGAGGCAGCAGUGGGGAAUAUUGCACAAUGGGCGCAAGCCUACUGCAGCCAUGCCGCGUGUGUGAAGCAGGCCUUCGGGUUGUAAAGCACUUUCAGCGAGGAGGCGUUACUCGCAGAAGAAGCACCGGCUAACUCCGUGCCAGCAGCCGCGGUAAUUC